rnacentral:rRNA from 1 species
GGACUACUGGGGUAUCUAAUCCCGUUCGCUACCCUAGCUUUCGCGCCUCAGCGUCAGUAUCGGGCCAGAUGAGCGCCUUCGCCACCGGUGUUCCUCCUGAUAUCUACGCAUUUCACCGCUACACCAGGAAUUCCCUCAUCCUCUCCCGUACUCAAGCCAGGCAGUUUGAGAUGCACGUCCCCGGGUGAGCCGGGGGCUUUCACAUCCCACUUACCUGACCGCCUGCACGCCCUUUACGCCCAGUGAUUCCGAACAACGCUUGCUCCCCCCGUGUUACCGCGGCGGCUGGCAC